CCUACGGGAGGCAGCAGUGAGGAAUAGUGGUCAAUGGACGCAAGUCUGAACCAGCCAUGCCGCGUGCAGGAAGACGGCUCUAUGAGUUGUAAACUGCUUUUGUACGAGGGUAAACGCAGAUACGCGUAUCUGUCUGAAAGUAGCGUACGAAUAAGGAUCGGCGAACUCCGGGCCAGCAGCCGCGGUAAUACGGAGGAUUCAAGCGUUAUCCGGAUUUAUUGGGUUUAAAGGGUGCGUAGGCGGUCGGAUAAGUUAGAGGUGAAAUCCCGAGGCUCAACUUCGGAAUUGCCUCUGAUACUGUUCGGCUAGUGCGUAGUUGCGGUAGCCGGCAUGUUUGGUGUAGCGG
rnacentral:rRNA from 1 species